CAGGGAGACAACAAAAUGUUUAAUAUUAUUAUUUUGUCACCUUAGGUCGAUCGGUAUCUCACAUUCUUAAUUUAUUAAGAAUUUUAUUUCCUAAGUUUUUUCUAGGUCACACCCAUCACUUUUCCUGGGCCAUUAGCUCAGGUGGUUAGAGCGCACCCCUGAUAAGGGUGAGGUCCCUGGUUCAAGUCCAGGAUGGCCCAUAUCUCUAUGUUGGGGGUAUAGCUCAGUUGGUAGAGCGCCUGCUUUGCAAGCAGGAUGUCAGCGGUUCGAGUCCGCUUACCUCCACUGAUUACCACCUCUUCCAUAAUUUUUAUUGAGGAAAUGUUUUGAGUAGUGAUCAAAUUCUGAACGAAUCUAGCUUCCUAAUGAAAUCAUUAAGAUGCUGGACUCAUUGAAUUAAUUUCAUUGUUUUCAGAGAACCUUGACAACUGCAUAGAUUACUUUUAAAGACAAUAAGCAUCUUUGUGAUGCAGAUUUAUUAUUUGUGCGAUUGCAUUAAUAACAAUUCUAUUAAGCUGGUGCUUCAAUUAUGAAGUUAUU
rnacentral:tRNA from 1 species